AUCACCUCUCGGCCUUUUGGCUAAGAUCAAGUGUAAUAAUAAAAUGUAGGGAAACAAUCAGCAAUGAGUUUAAAGUAUUUAUUGCCUUUGUUUUAAACAUAAUUUAUGUAAUUGUAAGUGUAUAUAAAUACAUAAUGGCUAUGUUAAGAGCUGGCUUGCAUGAUUCCUGAUAUUUUAGCAAUCACUU
ensembl:snRNA U2 U2 spliceosomal RNA